AGAUUUUCUUGCCGAUGUUAAACUUUCAACCUUCAGAAGUAAAAGAUAUGGAUAGCAAAGAUGCUUUUUUUAAUUGGAUAUGAUCAUUUUGUGAUACGGAACUAGAUUUAUUAACUUCAACGACAUCUCAAUCCCAGGGGGUGACGACAAAGGUUUCACGGAAAAUUUAUGGCAAUGUAAUUUUUGGUUCCAGAGGAUUUUCGCACUCGGUGAUGUUGCUUUGAGCUAUUCAAAAUGAUGCCUACCUCGGAAAAUAAACUGUGAAUGUUUAUUUCAAUAAGCUGGCCAUAGUUAAAUCUAAGGAUUCAAAAGUAGAAACACACUUUAAUUUAUAGUUCAUAAUCCUUAGGUAGACGACA